GGUGAUUCAUAGUAACCGAACGGAUCGCAUUAUGACCUUCGGGUCGGCGAUGGAUCAUUCAAGUUUCUGACCUAUCAGCUUUCGACGGUACUGUAUUGGACUACCGUGGCAGUGACGGGUAACGGGGAAUUAGGGUUCGAUUCCGGAGAGGGAGCCUGAGAAACGGCUACCACAUCUAAGGAAGGCAGCAGGCGCGCAAAUUACCCAAUCCUGACUCAGGGAGGUAGUGACAAGAAAUAACAACACUGGAAAUUCUUUUUCUAGUGAUUGGAAUGAUGGGAAUCCAAACCCCUUUCAGAGUAACAAUUGGAGGGCAAGUCUGGUGCCAGCAGCCGCGGUAAUUCCAGCUCCAAUAGCGUAUAUUAAAGUUGUUGCAGUUAAAAAGCUCGUAGUUGGAUAUCUGCUGGAAGCAGCCAGUCCGCCCUUUGUGGGUGUGCACUUGGUGAAUUCUGGCAUCCUCCUGAUUGGUGUCAUCAUCACUUCAUUGUGUUGGUGGCAGCUGUCAGGACCGUUACUUUGAGAAAAUUAGAGUGUUUCAAGCAGGCUUGUUGCCUUGAAUACUGCAGCAUGGAAUAACAAGACAGGAUUUCGGUUCUAUUUUGUUGGUUUCUAGGACUGAAGUAAUGAUUAAUAGGGACAGUUGGGGGCAUUCGUAUUUAACUGUCAGAGGUGAAAUUCUUAGAUUUGUUAAAGACGAACUACUGCGAAAGCAUUUGCCAAAGAUGUUUUCAUUAAUCAAGAACGAAAGUUAGGGGCUCGAAGACGAUCAGAUACCGUCGUAGUCUUAACCAUAAGCUAUGCCGACUAGAGAUAGGAAAAAGUCAUCCUUGACUUCUCCUGCACCUUAUGAGAAAUC
rnacentral:rRNA from 1 species